rnacentral:tRNA from 1 species
GGAGACAUAGCAAAGUGGCUAAUGCAUUGGAUUGCAAAUCCUUGAUCCUCGGUUCGACUCCGAGUGUCUCCUCCA